rnacentral:lncRNA from 1 species
AAACUCCCCAUCAUUUCUCACACAUCAAAUCAUAAAUCAAAAUCAUUAUUCUGAAAUAGUAGUUGCUAUUGUUUCAGAUCUAGGGUUUCUUAUUUCUUCUGUCGGCUGGAGUGAAUUGCAUCCCAAUUAAAAUCUAGGUUAACGACAUAAAGGGGUAAAUAAAGGGAGGUGACAGAAGAGAGUGAGCACACAUGGUAUUUUCUUGCAUAUGAUAUGCUUGAAGCUAUGCGUGCUCACUGCUCUAUCUGUCACCCCUAUCACUCUCUCUCUCUAGAUUUUCUUCUGUUCUAUGUAUGCACGCAUCUGUGUUCGUGAACAUAUGGUAUUAUUUGUAUGGUACUCGGGAGCGGACCUAGGGGCUGAAGGGGUUUAAUCGAAUACCCUUCUCGCCAAGGGAGGUGACAGAAGAGAGUGAGCACACAUGAUAUUUUCUUGCAUAUGAUAUGCUUGAAGCUAUGUGUGCUUACUGCUCUAUCUGUCACCCCCACCACUCUCUCUGUAGAUUUCUUUCUGUUUUAUGUAUAUAUGCGCAUGUAUGUUUAUGAAAAUAUGGUAUUAUUAGUACUCAGGAGCAGACCUAGGGGGUGAAGGAACUUCCGAGCAUCCUUUGUCAAAAAAUUACUCAAAUAAAAGGAGGUGACAGAAGAGAGUGAGCACAUAUGGUGUUUUCUUGCAUGAUAUGUUUAUCCCAUGCCUGAAGCUAUGCUUGCUCACUGCUCUAUCUGUCACCCCCAACACUCACUCUAUCUCUCUCUAGAUUUUUUUAUUUGUGUAUUCUAUGUAUGGAGCUAAUCAUACAUGGGUAUCUAUUGAGGUAAUUGUUUUUUCUUUUCAUGAUGUUGAUUCAUAUUAAUUGGAUCAGUGGACAAUGGAUUGAUAAUUUACAUAGUUUCCUUGUUUUAUUAUUUGUGUAUCUGUGUAUACCAUGGGCUGUUGGA